AGCAAACAGAGAACUAGCAAGGGAGGGCUGAGUAGUCAAGGCGCCUGUGAGGAAAUCUCCGGAGGCUGUGAGCCGGCCCGCCAGCCACUCACCACGUACAGCUUGUGCCAGAUGACAGCCCAUUCCCGCAGUGUGGACGUCAGCUCCUGCACCAGGGGGACUUCGCUUGGAAUCACUGUCUCAUGAUGCCUGGAAUGAUCAAACGAGGUGUCUCCUUCAAAUGGAUGUAUGAUACUGGAAAAAUCCCCUGCAAAGAGAGGACAUGGCUUACAGGAUCAUGACUGGCGACUCAGUCUGGGCCACUGCAGCAGAGAAAAUCGAGGAAGGUGAUCAAGCUCAGGGCAAAGGGGCUCCUUUAGGGAUUCAAUAAAUACAUUACA